rnacentral:rRNA from 1 species
GACAGAGGGGGCAAGCGUUGCUCGGAAUUACUGGGCGUAAAGGGCGCGUAGGCGGGAUGGCAAGUCGGUCGUGAAAUCCUUCGGCUCAACCGAAGAACGUCGAUCGAUACUGCUGUUCUUGAGGGUUGCAGAGGAGACUGGAAUUCCCGGUGUAGCGGUGAAAUGUUUAGAGAUCGGGAGGAACACCGGUGGCGAAGGCGGGUCUCUGGGCAAUUCCUGACGCUGAGGCACGAAAGCGUGGGGAGCAAACAGG